UACGUAGGGUGCAAGCGUUAAUCGGAAUUACUGGGCGUAAAGCGUGCGCAGGCGGUUAUGUAAGACAGAUGUGAAAUGCCCGGGCUUAACCUGGGAACUGCAUUUGUGACUGCAUGGCUAGAGUUUGGCAGAGGGGGGUAGAAUUCCACGUGUAGCAGUGAAAUGCGUAGAUAUCCGGAGGAACACCAGUGGCGAAGGCGACUUUCUGGCCUGUUCUUGACGCUGAGGCGCGAAAGCUAGGGGAGCAAACGGG
rnacentral:rRNA from 1 species